rnacentral:rRNA from 1 species
GAUGAACGCUGGCGGCGUGCCUAAUACAUGCAAGUCGAGCGAACAGACGAUGCUCUUGCUCCUCUGACGUUUGCGGCGGACGGGUGAGUAACACGUGUAUAACCUCCCUAUAUGACUGGUAUAACUUCGGGAAACCGGAUCUAAUACCGUAUAAUAUAUUGAACCGCAUGGUUCAAUAGUGAAAUACGGUUUUGCUGUCUCUUAUAGAUGGUUCCGCGCCGCAUUAGCUAGUUGGUAAGGUAACGGCUUACCAAGGCAACGAUGCGUAGCCGACGUGAGAGGGGGAUCGGCGACACUGGAAGUGAGACACGGACCAGACUACUAAGGGAGGCAGCAGUAGGGAAUCGUCCGCAAUGGGCGAAAGCAUGACGGAGCAAGGCCGAGUGAGUGAUGAAGGUCUUCGGAUCGUAAAACUCUGUUAUUAGGGAAGAACAAAUGUGGAAGGAACUAUGCAGGUAUUGACGGUAACUAAUCAGAAAGCAACGGCUAACUACGUG